GCACAGUAUCACAGUUUAUCGUGAUAUAAUUGUGAUCCAUGUAUCGUGAUACGUUUCAUAUGCCAAUACACACCCCUACCUUGUAAAGGAGUAUUUGUAUUGUAAUGAAAUUUUUAAUGUUUCAGAUAUUGAAAGCACCCAUUUAAAAUGGUCCUGUGAGCCUUCACACAAUAAUGAUACGACAUGUACUCAUACAACCAUUAUGAGACUUGCACUACAAUACUCUACAAGAUUCAAAGCUGAGACAACCAGGCAAGAAUUGUGAAAACCGCAAAAAAGCAGAUGUCAAAAAUCUGCUCAACUUGCAAGAAUAAAACACCGAAUCAAUAAAAAUAUAUGGGGGGC
rnacentral:lncRNA from 1 species